GCCCCCUCGGGGGCGAGGCGGCGGCGGGAGCGGGAAUGGGGCCGGGAGUCAGCGGGUUGCGUGAGGUACUGGGAGAGACUCUUCGCCGUGAGGGCCCUGAGACACCAGAACACGUUUCCCACAGACGCUGUGGAUGCCCCGUCCUUGACAGCAUUCCCGUCUGGUUUGGCCGGUGCUCUGAGCUGCCUGGUCCCGUGGAAGGGUAUCCCUGCGCAGGGAAUUGGAACUGGGUGAUUUUUAAGGUCUCUUCCGACCCAAGCCAUUGUGUAAUUCUAUGAAAGGCGUUGCUCCGCUUAACUUGCCUUUCCAGGUGAUUUGAGCAGUCGUUUAUGCCAUCAUUUUUCUCACACCGGACCCUCACUUCUUUCAGAUAGUUGUAAAAUCUGCAGACAUCCCUAGCGCUGGAAUCUGAGUCUGGGUGUCAGUGCUCCCCAGAAUUUGGAUAAGACACUUGAAAUCAUGAAGUGGAUUUUUACUCUUUUGUUUAUUGCCUUUUCACAGAUUCGCAUAAUAUUCUGAGUUGGAAGGGAUCCACAAGGAUUCUCGAGUCCAGCUCUUAAGUAAGUGGCCCGUAUGGGGAUUGCACCCACCACCUUGGUGUUAUCAGCACUGUGUUCUAACCAACAGCAACUGCAGAACGUUAACAAAUUUCACUACAAAUACCAAUGUAUUCAAUGAACCCACACGUCACCAUGAGGACAUCACAACAUCCCAGCUGUAUACUGCUUUGCUUGAGGAUUUUGAAGCCCACAUUUCCUGGUCUGGUGCAAAUAUUUCUGGUGGAGUCAUACAGGUGCAAACUCUGCCAUUUAACAAGCAGGAUUAAAAGUAAGAUCGGGAUACACUGGCUGAAAUGCGUGAAACUGAUACGGCAUGUCAAAUUCCAGGUUGCCCUGAAAUGGACCAAGGUAAAAAUGAGUUAUAUAGCAUUGGAGAUGAAAAAAAUGAAAUCAAAGAAAAUCUUGCAAAAAAAUUACUGUCUUGUUGCCUGUGUAUCAGCCUUAAAAUAACACUCCUUGCUGUUGUGACGUAAGCCCAAACUUGAUCCUCAUGUGUCUCACUCCUGUGAAAUGAGCACCAUGUUUGCAGAAGUAGCUUAUUUUUAACUUCAGGAACCCUGCAGUGCUGACUUCUCUUCAAUGUUCCAAGAGAAAGGACAGAUAACUCCAGUCUGUGCCUCUUUAGUGUCUGUCAAGUUUCCAGCAUUAGAACCCAGACAUUUGCUGGGGAAAUUAAAAUACUCAAUCAAGAUGUGAACAUCAUAAGAAAAUCAGUUGAAAGCUUUAUCUAAAGGCUCAAUUCACCCUGUGGAAGAUACUUGUGCCUUUAAGCUGGGUUCUGAGAGAAAGCAGCAUUUCUGAAUGUGUGGAAUGUAGCACUGGAGCUGAAAGAUGCUGAGAAAAUCAAUUUAAAGAGUCAUAAUGUGGAUCAUGGCUUUGAAUGUGUUUAUUGUCACAUGACUGAGUAGAUCUUAAUGGAAAAUCAUUGAAAAUCACACAUGUGGAUAAAAGAAACCUACCAGUGCUUCAUCUGUGAAAGUGCUUUUACAUCACUUUAUAAAGUGCCUGGAACAGAAAGAGCCAUCAGAGGAAGCUUCAUCUCAGUGCACAUCGUCUGAAACUGAGCAGAUAAGCAAUCUUCACGACGCUUGCUUGGCAUUAUCAGGAUAUGGUUACGUGCCCACACAGUGAUUUUACCAGUGUUUAAUUCCAUGAAAGGAAGUUUUACUGUAAAAUUCUAUUGUAACAAACUGUGGCUUUUAAACAACUAAGGACUAGAUCAAGGUCUGCAAGCAUCUGUGCAAUCACAGAUAUUUUGAUUCCAAAAAUGAAUCCUAAAACUUGUCAAAUGUUGAAAAGACAGCAAAACUACCACCAAAAAAAAAAAUAAAAAUUAAGAGGACUCUCAAUACAGGUCAAAAAGCCAAGCACUCCUCUGUGUUGGUCCUGUGACAUACAGACCCUUUAGAGUUACUGGCUUCAGCUCCAUCACAACAUCCUUACAUGUGUUGGUGGUGUCUUGACUGAUCCAUGCUGGUGUACACUACAUUGGAGAGUUAGGUUAAAAAAACCCCAAGCAACACAACAAAUGAACAAACAAAAACCAACUCAAACAAAUGACUGUUCUUGAGAAGCUCUAUUAUAUGUGUGUUUCACAAACUUAGCACAGAAUGAGGAGGAGGUUUAUUUUCUCUACAAUUUUGUGUCACUUGAAAGUUUCAUAUCUCAGAUUUUUAAGUCUUUCCAUCAUUGAUGACAUUAUAAAAUAUUGGUAUAGUGUAUUUUGGGUUUCUUUUUGAAUUAGUUUAUUUAGCUUAUUUCUUAUGUGGCAAUCCAGAGAAGAGUUGAAGGAGCAUAUGGAAAACUACAGAACUGCUACCCUCUUUUGUCCUCAUUUUGGGAUCAAGUAUUCAAAACCAGAUAUCAGUUGAGUGGACAUCAAAAACUAAUCCAUCAUGAAGAAACAACAAACCCACAAAUGAAAGAGAGGAAGAGAAGAAAGAAGCCUGAAGAUCAUCCUGUGUGUUUCAACAAAAAAGCAACUUGGAAAGAAGGAUUUAAGCUAGUUUAAAUGCAGUAUGUACAGUAGGUAUGAUCUGUAUUAUAGCAAAACUUGCUAUUUUGUUUCUUAAUUGCAGAAUAUUUGGUAAUCUGGCAGAUUUAUUUAUUUGCUUAUGUAUUUUUAUACAAAAGUUGCUCUUAGAUAGCCUGAACAAAAAUUAAAAUAGCUACCUUCUUGAUUUGUGAUAGUACCAGUUUUUGCAAUCAAUUAAGCAUGUGCUGAUCAAAAGAUGCAGCUAAAGUUUUCUGCUUUAGUUUGUUAAAGGUAAUAACAAAAUACAGC